rnacentral:lncRNA from 1 species
GCAAAGUUGGCACGCAAAGUGUUGUUCAAAUGAGCUCAGAGGCCUUCUAUUUAUAUCCAAAGGGAAUGAUAUUUGCACACUUCAAAAAUAUGUCCAAAAUUGGCAAUUUGAUUGGCACGAGUGCAUGGGAAUGUACAUGCCUAUGAUGCAAUGCAACAAGGUCCAAAAUGAUUCCAAUUGAAGUCUGAAUGAAGCUUGAAUGGGAAGGCAUUCUGAACUGAAGUUUG